AAUUCCGAAUUCCGAUAUAACCUAUUACGUGCCGUUUAAUUUUUCGUAAUUUAGAAAUAAUUAUAUUAUGGCGUCGCUAAAAGUGUAUUCAGUGGGUAGAUUAGCGAAAUGCAUAACAGAUUCUACGUUAAGAAAUUUACGAACGACUUAUUACAGGAGUUCAGUCCGCUGCUAUGGCACAGAAGAGAAGCCAGUGGAGAAGGAGGCACCAGUUGACAAGGACGGCAAGCAGCUACCAAGCUCAGUGGAGGAAUGUCACAAACAGAUUGAAGCGUUGAGCUCCGAGUUGAAGACCUUGAAGGACCAGGCAAAGGACUAUGAAGAUAAAUAUAAGAGAGCACUUGCCGACGGUGAGAACGUGCGGCGUCGGAUGAUGAAGCAAGUUGAGGACGCCAAGUCGUUCGCUAUUCAGAGCUUCUGUAAAGAUCUGCUUGAUGUAGCGGACACGUUGUCGGUGGCCGCGGAGAGCGUGCCGGCGGAGGGCGGGGGCAGCGGGGCGGAGGGCGGCGCCGCGCUGCGCUCGCUCGCCGACGGGCUGCGGCUCACGCGCGCGCAGCUGCAGCAGGUGUUCGCGAGACACGGUCUGGUGGCGGUGUCGCCGCUCCGGGAGAAAUUCGACCCCAACCUGCACGAAGCUUUAUUCCAACAGGAAGUAGAAGGUGCGGAACCCGGCACAGUAGUGACAGUUAGCAAAGUGGGCUACAAGUUACACGAGCGCUGUGUUCGGCCCGCACUAGUCGGCGUGGCCAAGUGAGGGGUCCCUCAGGGCUCUGCGCUGGGACCGGUGCUGUUCCUUAGCUAUAGCGAUGGAAAAACAGCAGACACGCGACGAAAAAACACGAUUUUAUAUCUAUAACGCUCCGGGAUUUAGAUUAUGUAAGAUUUGAAGUUAAAGAAGGUAUUUUAACGGCUGUAAGAGGAAAAAUGUUUUAAUAUUUUCUUUAAUUUUAAAGUUGUAAUAAUGUUAUAUGUUUAUAGGGCCUUAAGUUUUCUAUACUUCAUAGUACAUUCGGUGUGUUUGGUUUUAGUUGCUCAUGCAUUUUUCAAAACCCAUAUGGUCUUACCACAAAACAAUUUAAACACAGUCUAACUUUAAACCAGGGAUCUGUCACUUUAAUAGUUGUCUAUGUGAAAUACGAUAAAACCAUAUUAAAGAGAACUCGCGCUUAAAGAUAAACCCUGUCUAAAGUUUUUUGUGGUAAAA